CAAAGUUGGGGACACCCCUCUGGGUUCGCCCCCCAGACCGCACUGUUUCCAUGGGGUGAGGGUGGGAAAGGUGCACCUUAUUUUUGUAACUAGGGUUUAUUUGGUGAUAACAGGGGGUUGGGGGAUGCUCCCCCCCUCUCCCCCUGUGCCCCCAGGUGAAUAAAGGGCAGAGGAGCGGCUGUGGGGUUCCGCAUGUCACACAGGAGGGACUUUGGGGACAGAUCACUGCAGCAGCCCGGCCCCAUAACCACUACAGCCCCAAUCCCAUAGCCAUAACCCCCACAUCCCAUAGCUAUAUCCCACCUUAUCCCAUCCCAUAGCCCAUCCUGUAUCUAUAUCCCCAAAUCCAUCCCUUAUCCCCAUAUCCCAUUCCACAUCCAUCCUAUAUCCCAUCUCAUAUUCUUCCUAUAUUCCAUCACGUAUCCAUAUCUUUAUCCCAUUCCAGUAUCAUCCCAAACCCAUCUCAUAUCCAUAUCCCAUAUCCAUUCCAUGGACUUAUGCUGUAUCCAGAGCCCAUCCCAUACGUAUCCCCUUUCCCGAUAUCCCAUCCCGUAUCCAUAUCCCAUAUCCUCACACCCUCCAUCCCAAUCCCAACCCCGCAUGCCACCUGACAAUCCCAGUCCCAAUCCCACAUCCCAACCUCAAUUAGCAAGAGGGUGAACCCAAGGCCAAAGGCUGCCCCAUAGGCUGCAG
rnacentral:lncRNA from 1 species